GAAGGAAGUGAUGGCGGGGCAGAGCGAUGCAACUCACAGCUUUAAGCUUUUUUUUUUUUUUUUUUUCAGAAUCCUACUAUCUCUUCAGAUGUGCGGCGAGGCAUCCCAGUCGCUACAGUUCGGAUCCGAAAUGCACGCCAGGAAAACUCCCUCGCCGGAAAACGCUCUCAGCUCCGGAGAGCCGCCCGCGUCCGUGAACGCAUCACAACUUCAGCCGGCGCGCCGGAGAAAGUGAAGCCGGCGCCCGUCGCUGGCUGCCGGGGGGCUGGGAGAAGAUUAGAGGCGUGGAGCUCCCCCCUUUUUUUUUUUUUUUUUUUGGAAGGAAGAUUACAGGCUUGGGCACAUGUGAAGGACACCACAGAAUUAGGAAUUAGGUCAUGCGCGGCGCAACCUACCUGUCGUCUUUAUUAUACUGAACAUUUGUGCCACGAUGACCUUUGGCGCACUUGGAAUAAAGCGGACGCACCUGUGAGGUGCGUUCCUUUGCUUCGAGCGGCGAUGUGGCGUCAUCAACCAAACUACAAUCAGGUUGGCAGGCAAUAAGGCUUGACAGAAGAUGCGACGGGGCCGGUGUUUUAUCAGAUGGCUGGGGACAGGAAUGGCCGUCGUCUAUUUGCUAAACGUGGUCUGGGGCCAAGACACAGACGAGUGCAAGUUGUCCCGGCCCGGCCCCCCAGCGACUAUAGUGACCAUCGACGAGGAAAGCCCCAACGGUACGUCACGACCUUAACCUGACCUUGACUUGCUUUUCCUAGGCUGCUUUUCCUGUGUCUUUUUUUUGUUUUUGUUUUUUUGUUUUUUGGCUGAGGACGAAUACCUUAGGUCAGGGGUCACCAACCUUUUUGAAAGCAAGAGCUACUUCUUGGGUAGUGAUUAAUGCGAAGGGCUACCAGUUUGAUACACACUUAAAUAAAUUGCCAGAAAUAGCCAAUUUGCUCAAUUUACCUUUAACUCUAUGUUAUUAUUAAUAAUUAAUGA